rnacentral:rRNA from 1 species
UACGGAGGGUGCAAGCAUUAAUCGGAUUUAUUGGGCGUAAAGGGCGCGUAGGCGGAUCUGAAAGUCAGAUGUGAAAUUUCGAAGCUCAACUUCGGAGCUGCAUUUGAAACUCCAAAUCUUGAGGGAUGGCGGAGAAAAUGGAAUUCCACGUGUAGCGGUGAAAUGCGUAGAUAUGUGGAAGAACACCAGUGGCGAAAGCGGUUUUCUAGCUUUUUCCUGACGCUGAGGCGCGAGAGCAAGGGGAGCAAACAGG